GACGAACGCUGGCGGCGUGCUUAACACAUGCAAGUCGAACGAUGAUGCCCAGCUUGCUGGGUGGAUUAGUGGCGAACGGGUGAGUAACACGUGAGUAACCUGCCCCUGACUCUGGGAUAAGCGUUGGAAACGACGUCUAAUACUGGAUAUGACUGCCGGCCGCAUGGUCUGGUGGUGGAAAGAUUUUUUGGUUGGGGAUGGACUCGCGGCCUAUCAGCUUGUUGGUGAGGUAAUGGCUCACCAAGGCGACGACGGGUAGCCGGCCUGAGAGGGUGACCGGCCACACUGGGACUGAGACGCGGCCCAGACUCCUACGGGAGGCAGCAGUGGGGAAUAUUGCACAAUGGGCGAAAGCCUGAUGCAGCAACGCCGCGUGAGGGAUGACGGCCUUCGGGUUGUAAACCUCUUUUAGUAGGGAAGAAGCGAAAGUGACGGUACCUGCAGAAAAAGCACCGGCUAACUACGUGCCAGCAGCCGCGGUAAUACGUAGGGUGCAAGCGUUGUCCGGAAUUAUUGGGCGUAAAGAGCUCGUAGGCGGUUUGUCGCGUCUGCUGUGAAAUCCCGAGGCUCAACCUCGGGCUUGCAGUGGGUACGGGCAGACUAGAGUGCGGUAGGGGAGAUUGGAAUUCCUGGUGUAGCGGUGGAAUGCGCAGAUAUCAGGAGGAACACCGAUGGCGAAGGCAGAUCUCUGGGCCGUAACUGACGCUGAGGAGCGAAAGCGUGGGGAGCGAACAGGAUUAGAUACCCUGGUAGUCCACGCCGUAAACGUUGGGCGCUAGAUGUAGGGACCUUUCCACGGUUUCUGUGUCGUAGCUAACGCAUUAAGCGCCCCGCCUGGGGAGUACGGCCGCAAGGCUAAAACUCAAAGGAAUUGACGGGGGCCCGCACAAGCGGCGGAGCAUGCGGAUUAAUUCGAUGCAACGCGAAGAACCUUACCAAGGCUUGACAUACACCGGAAACGGCCAGAGAUGGUCGCCCCCUUGUGGUCGGUGUACAGGUGGUGCAUGGUUGUCGUCAGCUCGUGUCGUGAGAUGUUGGGUUAAGUCCCGCAACGAGCGCAACCCUCGUUCUAUGUUGCCAGCGCGUUAUGGCGGGGACUCAUAGGAGACUGCCGGGGUCAACUCGGAGGAAGGUGGGGAUGACGUCAAAUCAUCAUGCCCCUUAUGUCUUGGGCUUCACGCAUGCUACAAUGGCCGGUACAAAGGGCUGCGAUACCGUAAGGUGGAGCGAAUCCCAAAAAGCCGGUCUCAGUUCGGAUUGAGGUCUGCAACUCGACCUCAUGAAGUCGGAGUCGCUAGUAAUCGCAGAUCAGCAACGCUGCGGUGAAUACGUUCCCGGGCCUUGUACACACCGCC
rnacentral:rRNA from 1 species